AAUAAUGAGAAAGAGUCACAUCAGAAGAGCAAUUGGCUGAACCUCCAAAGACCUCUCUCGGAAACAAACAGAAGUGAUGGUGGUAAAAGACCAGUCAAGUUAAGAAGCCUCUGCUUCCUGUGUAGGGCGACAGAGCAGUGAAGGACUGGGAUGAUCAUCAGAUGAAAGUAAGAGGGGAGAUCAUCAAGCCAAAGAGUAGAGACGAACAGAGGAUGAGACUAAGAAGAAAGCUGCCAAACUUCUGAACCUCCUUCACUGUAGUGGUGGAAAUGCUGGUUUCUCAACCUCCCCUCCAGCUGGGGUGCAGGCACAGGACUGAGGCUGUGGCCCAGACUGGGACCUGAAGACACAGGGACGCAUGUGCAGCAGUAAUUUUGGAGGGACUCUACAGAGAAAGGGAAGUCCUACUGAGCAGCUGAGUCUGGGAGCCAGCAAGAUUAGAAUAUGCCGUGGUGUGACUCAGUCUGCCCUCAGAGGUUUGUGAGGUUUGGAGAUACCCAUCUUUCUAGAUGUCUCUCAAAUCUGUCCCCUUCCUCUC